rnacentral:rRNA from 1 species
CCUACGGGAGGCAGCAGUAGGGAAUAUUGGGCAAUGGAGGCAACUCUGACCCAGCCAUGCCGCGUGAACGAAGAAGGCGCUAUGCGUCGUAAAGUUCUUUUAGAGGGGGCGAAAACACUUGAUUCAUCAAGUACUGACGGUACCUUCGGAAUAAGCACCGGCUAACUCUGUGCCAGCAGCCGCGGUAAUACAGAGGGUGCAAGCGUUAUCCGGAAUCACUGGGUUUAAAGGGUGCGUAGGCGGGAUUAUAAGUCAGAGGUGAAAUCUCGUCGCUUAACGACGGAAUUGCCUUUGAUACUGUUUUUCUUGAAAUUUGUUGAGGUUGGCGGAAUGAGACAUGUAGCGGUGAAAUGCUUAGAUAUGUCUUAGAACACCGAUUGCGAAGGCAGCUGACUGGACAAUAUUUGACGCUGAGGCACGAAAGCGUGGGGAUCAAACAGGAUUAGAUACCCUGGUAGUCCACGCCCUAAACGAUGUUUACUUGCUGUUUGUCUUUCGGGAUGGGUGGCGAAGCGAAAGCGAUAAGUAAACCACCUGGGGAGUACGCCGCAAGGGUGAAACUCAAAGGAAUUGACGGNUGNGAGNGCGAGCGACGACGAGGAGAGG